rnacentral:rRNA from 1 species
CCUACGGGACGCACCAGUGGGGAAUAUUGGACAAUGGGCGAAAGCCUGAUCCAGCAAUGCCGCGUGUGUGAAGAAGGUCUUCGGAUUGUAAAGCACUUUCGACGGGGACGAUGAUGACGGUACCCGUAGAAGAAGCCCCGGCUAACUUCGUGCCAGCAGCCGCGGUAAUACGAAGGGGGCUAGCGUUGCUCGGAAUGACUGGGCGUAAAGGGCGCGUAGGCGGUUUAUGCAGUCAGAUGUGGAAUCCCCGGGCUUGACCUGGGAACUGCAUUUGAGACGCAUAGACUAGAGGUCGAGAGAGGGUUGUGGAAUUCCCAGUGUAGAGGUGGAAUUCGUAGAUAUUGGGAAGAAUACCGGUGGCGAAGGCGGCAACCUGGCUCGAUACUGACGCUGUGGCGCGAAAGCGUGGGGAGCAAACAGGAUUAGAUACCCUGGUAGUC